rnacentral:misc_RNA from 1 species
GAUGAAGAACGCAGAGAAAUGCGAUACUUGGUGUGAAUUGCAGAAUCCCGUGAACCAUCGAGUCUUUGAACGCAAGUUGCGCCUCAAGCCAUUAGGUUGAGGGCACGUCUGCCUGGGCGUCACAUAUCGUUGCCUGAUGCCAGUUUCCUCGUGAUGGGUGACUGUGCAGGGCGAAUGAUGGCUUCCCGUGAGCAUUGUUGCCUCAUGGUUGGUUGAAAAUUGAGUCCUUGGUAGGGAGCGCCGUGAUAGAUGGUGGUUGAGUGACGAACGAGACCCAAUCAUGUGAGACCCCUACCGAAUUUGGCCUUCAUGACCCACAUGCGUCUUUGGAACGCUCAUGACGAGACCUCAGGUCAGGCGGGGCUACCCGCUGAGUUUAAGCAUAUCAAUAAGCGGAGGA